rnacentral:pre_miRNA from 1 species
AUGCAAAUCAUUCGAGGAUCUGGUUAAAAUGCAGAUUCUGAUUAAGCAGGUCUGGGGUGGGGCCUGAGAUUCUGCAUCUCUUACAAGUUCCCAGGUGAUGCCAAU